GGGCCCGUAGCUCAAAGGCAGAGCGGCCGGCUCAUAACUGGUUGGUUGCAGGUUCGAGUCCUGCCGGGCCCACCA
rnacentral:tRNA from 4 species